AUUGAACGCUGGCGGCAGGCCUAACACAUGCAAGUCGAGCGAGCGGCGGAAGGGUGAGUAAUGCCUAGGAAUCGGCCUGGUAGUGGGGGAUAACGUCCGGAAACGGUAGCUAAUACCGCAUACCAUCAGAUGAGCCCAGAUGGGAUUAGCUAGUAGGUGGGGUAACGGCUCACCUAGGCGACGAUCCAUAGCUGGUCUGAGAGGAUGAUCAGCCACAUGGGAACUGAGACACGGCCCAGACUCCUACGGGAGGCAGCAGUGGGGAAUAUUGCACAAUGGGCGAAAGUCUGAUGCAGCCAUGCCGCGUGUGUGAAGAAGGUCUUCGGGUUGUAAAGCACUUUCAGCGGGGAGGCGUUACCCGCAGAGGAAGCAACGGCUAACUCCGUGCCAGCAGCCGCGGUAAUAC
rnacentral:rRNA from 1 species